rnacentral:lncRNA from 1 species
CAGCCUCCCAAAUGCUGAGUUUACAGCUGUGUGGUGCCACACCCAGCAACUUUAUGUAAUUUCUUUUAACUAUUAAUAGAUACUUAUUGUCAGUAAUGCUUUGCAACCGUGUUGUACAAUUUUACCAUUUGUUUAAUUGUUUUAUCUUUUUCUCUUUUUUUUUUUGGUACUGGGGAUCGAACUCGAACUCGGGACCUUGCGCUUUUGAGGAAGGUGCCAGAACCACUGAGCUAAAUCCCUGGCCCCUAAUUGUUUUAUCUUUUUGGUAGGUAGAUUACAAUGAAUCAUUUUUUGGUUACUGAUCAGGUCACUUUUUUCAUUUUUUUUUUUUUUCCACUUACAGAUUGUUUUAUCCUCAGCUUCUGGGUUGUUUUUUUUUUGUUUUUUGGGGGGUUUUUUGCUUUUUUUUCUAUGGAGAUACUAGUUUUUUCGUAUUAAUUCUUAAGGCUCUUUAUGGACAGUGGACCCUCAAGUUAUGACCGGCAUGACACAACUUAGGUUAUGGUCAGAAUAUUUGAAAAUAUUAAGUCUUCAGCAUAUUUUGUCCAUCUACCCCUUUUUUUCCUUGAUGCUGGGGAUUGACUCAAGGGCUUUGUACAUGCUAGGCACCAUGCUCUACCAUCACCCCUACUUCUGCAGAUCAUAGUGCAUCCUUCUCCACCUUAUUCACUGCAUCUAGCACCGUGUGACUUCUGCCUCUUCCCCAAAAUCAAAGUGACUAUGAAAGGUAAACAUUUUGAAUCCAUUCAGGACAUUGAUGCAAAAGUUUAGUAUCCAACAGGGUAACUAAAGACAUUCAGGAAAGAGGACUUACAGAACUGCUUCAGAAAGUGGCAAGAAACAUGGGAUCAGUGUGUUUGAAAUGAGGGAAUGUUCUUUGAGGGGGAUUAAUGGCACUGUAUCUUAGACUGUAAUAAAUAUUAAACAUUCUCUGUAUUUUUCAAUCACACAUCAAAUUAAUUCUAAGUGUAACAGUCUUCACAGUUAAAGUGAUAAUAGAUGAAGAAUUUUAAUUUUUGUUAGAAAAAAUAACCAGUUUUAGUUAGUGUACCUCAGUUCAUGAACUUCAAUCAUUCCACAAGUCUGAAAAAGAUGGCCACAUUCAUGUUCGUGCAGGAAAGAUGGCGGUAAUUGUGUUUGUCACUCAGUGCAGAGUUUGAAAACAAAAACAAAAUCUUGCCAAACACUUCUGUUUACAAACCAAAUUGCUUGCAAAUGAAAGCCUUUAUGAACCGAGGUACCACUGUACAAGACAUUGCUUAACCGUUUGUCAUCUCUUACCCAUUUGUUGUUCAUCCUUUAGGUUAGAGGUGAAGCGUCUGCACACUGCUAAGUUUUAUAAUCAGAUCACACAUCUCUUUUCUCACUUUGUACAUGAGGGAGUUCAGGG